CACCAAAGAUAAUGAUUUUAGAAGAGAUGCAAUAGUGUACAGAGACCACAUAUUGAACGCUAUUAAUUGCUCUGUUGAUGACUGUUUGAGCUGCUGUCUAGGUUUCUGCCCGAGACAGAGAAAAAUAGAUGAUUACAAGAGACUAAGUGAAACUUUAGAUAGAUGUUCCCCACAUUCAGAAUUAUACAAGCAACAAGUGGCAAUCCCCUAUACAUUUCAUAGGAUUCACACUGAGUGAAACUUGGAGGUUGGAGUCUUCUUACAGAAAAGGUGAUUUUGCUUUCAGGCUUGGAUUGACUCUGGCAAGUAACUUGGGGCGUGGACAUAUACAUUCAGAUGGCUGUCAUUUUGUAAUUUUUUUUUUUCUGGGUUUUCUUCUUGGAAUCUUGUUAUUAUGGCAGAAUACAGUCUAAUUAGAUACGUUAGAUGAAGGCUACUGCUAGGUGAUCGUUACUGCCAGAGGCUUUGUCUGUUGAGCUUCAACAUGGUUAAACUAAUAUUAUUUGGUUAUUCUCUUCUAUGUGAAACA